rnacentral:rRNA from 1 species
AGUGAUCAUUGGCGGCAGGCUUAACACAUGCAAGUCGAACGAGGUAGCAAUACCUAGUGGCGCACGGGUGAGUAACGCGUGGAUAAUCUGCCUUUGAGUGGGGGAUAACUAGUCGAAAGAUUAGCUAAUACCGCAUAAGACCACAGGAACUGAGGUUCUAGGGGUUAAAGGUUUUUCGCUCAUAGAUGAGUCCGCGUGAGAUUAGCUAGUUGGUGAGGUAACGGCUCACCAAGGCGACGAUCUCUAACUGGUCUGAGAGGAUGAUCAGUCACACUGGAACUGAGACACGGUCCAGACUCCUACGGGAGGCAGCAGUAGGGAAUAUUGCACAAUGGAGGAAACUCUGAUGCAGCGACGCCGCGUGAGUGAUGAAGGCUUUCGGGUCGUAAAGCUCUGUCGCAGGGGAAUAACACAAUGAAUGUACCCUGUAAGAAAGGAUCGGCUAACUUCGUGCCAGCCGCCGCCGUAA